rnacentral:rRNA from 1 species
UGGAAGAGCCAUAUCACCCUGCAGCUCUCGCCUGGUAACCAACUGAAGCUAAGCAGGGUUGAGCCUGGCCAGUACCUGGAUGGGAGACAUCCUGGGGAAAACUAAGGUUUCUGCUGG